rnacentral:lncRNA from 1 species
GCACACACAACAUGGCAGCAGGGGGAAGGAGGGAGGCGAGCUAGAGAGUGAGAGAGUGAGAGGGAGAAAUAGAGAGAGAGGCUGCCGCGGCUGACAGGGAAUACUGGUGCCAUUUUCACAUCGCGGGAAGGAUUCAUUCCUGCUCCGCUCGGCUCCGCUGUGGAAGAAGGGAACGAGGGAAGAAGGGAACGAGGGAAGGAGGAAAAAGAGGAGAAGAAAGGAGGCUGACAACUAUAAAACAGGGUAGAGCAAAAGGACGCAGCAUUGCAGAG